GCGCAUCACCUUCUCCCUCUUAACCACCAUCAAAAUAUUUCAGCCACCAUUACUCCACCGUCCGACGUCGUUUUACCACACCACCACCACCAUUGAACUACUCUCAUCUUCCUCUUCAAAAAGCCACCAACUUAUUAUUAGAUUGGUAAGAUUUUAAAAACCCUAACCACCACCUUCUCUCUUACUUUCCGGCCACCACAAAUCUCCAUUUGAAAAACUAAUAUGAUUUUCUUCUUACCCAUGAUGUCUGCAACAAAACUCCUACAUCUAUUUUGGGAUUGGAGAACUUUCACCGGCGACCACCGUGCCGGAAACCGCUACAACCGCGCCGGUGACCACCACUUAAUUUCUGCAAAAACUCAACAAUUUAUGAACUAGAAUCAUACAAUUACUCCAUUCUUUCCUUCUUCUAUUCUUCACACAUGACAUACCAUGAACAACAGAACUUGAUCAUAGAGAAAGAAAGUUGUUAUUUCUAGGUUCUUCACACAUGGCAUAUAUGAGAAGAAGAUGAAGAUGAAGUUUUGUAUUUUUAUUAUUUCUGGGUUUUUAUUUCUAUGUUUUCAUAUUUUAUUUUUGGUUUUCUAUUUUUUAGAUGGAUGAAUAUGGAAGUGUGAAG
rnacentral:lncRNA from 1 species